GGUUAAGCGACUAAGCGUACACGGUGGAUGCCCUGGCAGGUCAGAGGCGAUGAAGGACGUGCUAAUCUGCGAUAAGCGUCGGUAAGGUGAUAUGAACCGUUAUAACCGGCGAUUUCCGAAUGGGGAAACCCAGUGUGUUUCGACACACUAUCAUUAACUGAAUCCAUAGGUUAAUGAGGCGAACCGGGGGAACUGAAACAUCUAAGUACCCCGAGGAAAAGAAAUCAACCGAGAUUCCCCCAGUAGCGGCGAGCGAACGGGGAGGAGCCCAGAGCCUGAAUCAGUGUGUGUGUUAGUGGAAGCGUCUGGAAAGGCGCGCGAUACAGGGUGACAGCCCCGUACACAAAAAUGCACAUGCUGUGAGCUCGAUGAGUAGGGCGGGACACGUGGUAUCCUGUCUGAAUAUGGGGGGACCAUCCUCCAAGGCUAAAUACUCCUGACUGACCGAUAGUGAACCAGUACCGUGAGGGAAAGGCGAAAAGAACCCCGGCGAGGGGAGUGAAAAAGAACCUGAAACCGUGUACGUACAAGCAGUGGGAGCACGCUUAGGCGUGUGACUGCGUACCUUUUGUAUAAUGGGUCAGCGACUUAUAUUCUGUAGCAAGGUUAACCGAAUAGGGGAGCCGAAGGGAAACCGAGUCUUAACUGGGCGUUAAGUUGCAGGGUAUAGACCCGAAACCCGGUGAUCUAGCCAUGGGCAGGUUGAAGGUUGGGUAACACUAACUGGAGGACCGAACCGACUAAUGUUGAAAAAUUAGCGGAUGACUUGUGGCUGGGGGUGAAAGGCCAAUCAAACCGGGAGAUAGCUGGUUCUCCCCGAAAGCUAUUUAGGUAGCGCCUCGUGAAUUCAUCUCCGGGGGUAGAGCACUGUUUCGGCAAGGGGGUCAUCCCGACUUACCAACCCGAUGCAAACUGCGAAUACCGGAGAAUGUUAUCACGGGAGACACACGGCGGGUGCUAACGUCCGUCGUGAAGAGGGAAACAACCCAGACCGCCAGCUAAGGUCCCAAAGUCAUGGUUAAGUGGGAAACGAUGUGGGAAGGCCCAGACAGCCAGGAUGUUGGCUUAGAAGCAGCCAUCAUUUAAAGAAAGCGUAAUAGCUCACUGGUCGAGUCGGCCUGCGCGGAAGAUGUAACGGGGCUAAACCAUGCACCGAAGCUGCGGCAGCGACGCUUAUGCGUUGUUGGGUAGGGGAGCGUUCUGUAAGCCUGUGAAGGUGUGCUGUGAGGCAUGCUGGAGGUAUCAGAAGUGCGAAUGCUGACAUAAGUAACGAUAAAGCGGGUGAAAAGCCCGCUCGCCGGAAGACCAAGGGUUCCUGUCCAACGUUAAUCGGGGCAGGGUGAGUCGACCCCUAAGGCGAGGCCGAAAGGCGUAGUCGAUGGGAAACAGGUUAAUAUUCCUGUACUUGGUGUUACUGCGAAGGGGGGACGGAGAAGGCUAUGUUGGCCGGGCGACGGUUGUCCCGGUUUAAGCGUGUAGGCUGGUUUUCCAGGCAAAUCCGGAAAAUCAAGGCUGAGGCGUGAUGACGAGGCACUACGGUGCUGAAGCAACAAAUGCCCUGCUUCCAGGAAAAGCCUCUAAGCAUCAGGUAACAUCAAAUCGUACCCCAAACCGACACAGGUGGUCAGGUAGAGAAUACCAAGGCGCUUGAGAGAACUCGGGUGAAGGAACUAGGCAAAAUGGUGCCGUAACUUCGGGAGAAGGCACGCUGAUAUGUAGGUGAAGUCCCUCGCGGAUGGAGCUGAAAUCAGUCGAAGAUACCAGCUGGCUGCAACUGUUUAUUAAAAACACAGCACUGUGCAAACACGAAAGUGGACGUAUACGGUGUGACGCCUGCCCGGUGCCGGAAGGUUAAUUGAUGGGGUCAGCGCAAGCGAAGCUCUUGAUCGAAGCCCCGGUAAACGGCGGCCGUAACUAUAACGGUCCUAAGGUAGCGAAAUUCCUUGUCGGGUAAGUUCCGACCUGCACGAAUGGCGUAAUGAUGGCCAGGCUGUCUCCACCCGAGACUCAGUGAAAUUGAACUCGCUGUGAAGAUGCAGUGUACCCGCGGCAAGACGGAAAGACCCCGUGAACCUUUACUAUAGCUUGACACUGAACAUUGAGCCUUGAUGUGUAGGAUAGGUGGGAGGCUUAGAAGUGUGGACGCCAGUCUGCAUGGAGCCGACCUUGAAAUACCACCCUUUAAUGUUUGAUGUUCUAACGUUGACCCGUAAUCCGGGUUGCGGACAGUGUCUGGUGGGUAGUUUGACUGGGGCGGUCUCCUCCUAAAGAGUAACGGAGGAGCACGAAGGUUGGCUAAUCCUGGUCGGACAUCAGGAGGUUAGUGCAAUGGCAUAAGCCAGCUUGACUGCGAGCGUGACGGCGCGAGCAGGUGCGAAAGCAGGUCAUAGUGAUCCGGUGGUUCUGAAUGGAAGGGCCAUCGCUCAACGGAUAAAAGGUACUCCGGGGAUAACAGGCUGAUACCGCCCAAGAGUUCAUAUCGACGGCGGUGUUUGGCACCUCGAUGUCGGCUCAUCACAUCCUGGGGCUGAAGUAGGUCCCAAGGGUAUGGCUGUUCGCCAUUUAAAGUGGUACGCGAGCUGGGUUUAGAACGUCGUGAGACAGUUCGGUCCCUAUCUGCCGUGGGCGCUGGAGAACUGAGGGGGGCUGCUCCUAGUACGAGAGGACCGGAGUGGACGCAUCACUGGUGUUCGGGUUGUCAUGCCAAUGGCACUGCCCGGUAGCUAAAUGCGGAAGAGAUAAGUGCUGAAAGCAUCUAAGCACGAAACUUGCC
rnacentral:rRNA from 1 species